rnacentral:lncRNA from 1 species
GCCAUUAAGUUCCUUAUUUAGGAUUUUAUACACCGAAUUAGGUUUUCGGAUUCCCGAAACUGAAUUUAGGGUUUCCAGAACCGGUUUCUAGGAUUUCUUAUUAAUCACUAGGGUUAUCUAACCGAACGUUGACGUUCUUAAUAUAUAAUUAGGGUUUGUUACGGAUAUCGUUUAUCUGGUCAACCCUUGACCCUUAACCACAUCAUGUACACAUAUCAUAGCAUAUCCAUAGAACAUAAUCACGUAUUCACUUAAUCCUAAAUAAUUCACCUAAAUCCUUCACAGAAUUUUGAAAUCCUCAAAAUUCUAUCUUAAAAAUAUCAAACGCAUACACUUAUUUUCUGUCUAGGUUCUAAUUUUGAACCUUAAAUCAAUUAAUAAAAUUUUUAAAAAUAUUCAAAAUUCUCGGGUUGUCACAUUUUCCUUAGAGGCAUUGUCUGCAACCAUUGAAGGGAUAG